rnacentral:rRNA from 1 species
CCUACGGGUGGCAGCAGUGAGGAAUAUUGGUCAAUGGACGAGAGUCUGAACCAGCCAAGUAGCGUGAAGGAUGACUGCCCUAUGGGUUGUAAACUUCUUUUAUAAAGGAAUAAAACGAGGCACGUGUGCCUUUUUGCAUGUACUUUAUGAAUAAGGAUCGGCUAACUCCGUGCCAGCAGCCGCGGUAAUACGGAGGAUCCGAGCGUUAUCCGGAUUUAUUGGGUUUAAAGGGAGCGUAGAUGGGUUGUUAAGUCAGUUGUGAAAGUUUGCGGCUCAACCGUAAAAUUGCAAUUGAAACUGGCGUUCUUGAGUGAGCGAGAAGUAUGCGGAAUGCGUGGUGUAGCGGUGAAAUGCAUAGAUAUCACGCAGAACUCCGAUUGCGAAGGCAGCAUACCGGCGCUCAACUGACGCUCAUGCACGAAAGCGUGGGUAUCGAACAGGAUUAGAUACCCGGGUAGUC